GACGAACCGUCCUAACGUUGUUCGGAAUCACUGGGCUUAAAGGGCGCGUAGGCGGCCUGGCAAGUGGAAGGUGAAAUCCCUCGGCUUAACCGAGGAACUGCCCUCCAAACUGCUUGGCUUGAGUCCGGGAGAGGUGAGUGGAAUUCCCAGUGUAGCGGUGAAAUGCGUAGAUAUUGGGAGGAACACCAGUGGCGAAGGCGGCUCACUGGACCGGAACUGACGCUGAGGCGCGAAAGCGCGGGGAGCAAACGGGG
rnacentral:rRNA from 1 species